rnacentral:lncRNA from 1 species
CACUAUGUGGGCGUGGGGAUCCUGGUGUUUGCUGGUGUUAACCUUCCCCACAGCUACCUAGUUUGCUUCAGCCAGUGCAUCAUGUGACCAUGGUGACCAUGCAACCCGAGUGCUCUUCUCACCAUGGCCAGGUAAUUUCAAAGGUUUCCUCAGUCGAGUUGUGCAUGUUUUGUGCUCUACAUAAGAUAGAGAAUCUCAUAUGAUGGUGAACAAAUCUCCUUCAGACAGUUUUGUUGGAUGUUAUAUGAAAAUUGGAGUAAAAGUGGUCUAAAAUAGGGUCGUCCGAUUUCAGACUUAGUGCAAAUUCAGAGUCUAAAUUUGUAUGUUUUGGUGCAGCUUUGGAGCUCUUUGCUGCUCUAUCCAUAGAGUUGUAGCUUAUGGCCACUAUAACAAAGUUGUAGAUCUGUUAUUGGAAUACAAGUUUGAUUAAGCGAUCUGACCCAAAAACUAUAUAGAACUUAGUGUAAAGCUUGCUCAAAAGUGGGCUAUCAACUUAUGGGUUUCAGACUUAGCUAAUUGGCUAAGUCUGAAUUUCAGUAAAUUUUAGCCAUGUUUGUACCUUUGUAGUGGCUAACAUGUAGGGAAUUAAAUUAUGUCUCUUAUAGCAAAGCAAUAGAGCUAUAGUAGAAGACCAGGUUUGAUUGAAGGCCAUACCCUGAAAGCUAUUUGGAACUACGAGAAAAAGUGAGCUAAAGUUGAGCUGGCAGAUUUCUGGAGUUUUAGAUGGUGAACAAUGGUGUGCAGCUAAAAAUUCAGUGUUGAUGGCUGUUUUUGGACCUUGUUUGUGGCCAAUCCAUGAAGCUUUGGGUUAUGAUGUUUAUAGAGGAAGUGAAGACCAUAUGAUGGUGAAAAAGUCUCAUUAAGUUUGGCCUUUUCCUUUUUUAUAGAACUUUUGAAUAGCGCCAAAAAUAGUAGAAAAUUCCAAAAAUCAUGGGACAAAUUUUGUUGGAUGUCUAAAACCAAGAGGUCUCUGGUAAAGUUGGUUUUAGGAUUUUGAGAGCCAUUAGAAAAUAUUAAGUGAAUUAAAGGUGCUUUUGGGAGGACUGUUUGGAUUUUGGAAAUAAAAGUACAAUGCCAAAAAUUAUGGAAACUUUUGAGUAACCUUGUUUUGGUCAGUGGAGGGUGUGGUAAAGGUUUGAGGCUGUUUGGAAUCCAUUUGCUCUGAAAACUUUGUAAGCCCCAAAAUAAAAUGGUUAUCCCUAAUCAAGUGUGAGUUAGUGCUUUGGAAAGGAGAUAAGUUUAUCUAGGAAAGAGAUGUAUUUGCUUAAGAAGUUUUAAGCUUUUGGAUGAGAUAUAAGUUGGAUUAGUUCCCUGGUUUACCUAAGUGAAUUUAAAUUGGUCACUUUUAUUAAGUGCUAGGUUGUGUAGAUGUAUGUGUAUACAUGUCAUGUACUUAUUUAGGAGUGUUUAUAUUCCCCACCACUCUUUGUGAGAGUUUGCAUUUCAUAUCAUAACAUAAGCAUACAUGUAAUUGUAAUUGACUUGUAGAACACCUAGAAGAAGUGGUGUUUGAAGGAGUCUACUCCAGUGCCGGCUCAUCAAGUGGAUGGAGCUAUCUAACUGGUUAUUGGGUAGAAGAUCUAGAACCUCUUCACUGCAACAAAGGCAAGCGCCGGUGCAUGCAACCCCUUCCUUGUGUUUUUAAAAGAUUUUUAUACACUUUAUGUCUAGUGAAAUGUGCAUUAAGUUUAUAGGAGUUGCUUGGAAACUAUUGGAUGCAUUGCCUACCUUGAUAUCCAUACCUUUAUAGAUACUUCUGAUGAAGUAUCAAAAUAUUUUUUACAAAAAUGUUUAGCCCUACUUAGAUCUUGUGGAUAGAUGUUGUCUUUUGCAUUAAUGCCUAGCUCAGGGGUUAUCCUGAGGAAGGAUGGCUUCUACCUGCAAGAAUAUUUUCAUUGGGAGUAUGGUGGGAUCUUACUGCAAAGUUCCCUAUAAUGCUCUUUUCAUCCUAAGGAACACAAACAAUCCUAAGGAUGGAAGUACUUAAAUCGGGACUUGGGUUAGGAACAGGUGAUGCUCCACCCAGGUUAAUUAAGGAUUGGAUGUGUAUGUUGGCCUGUAUGAUCAAGGACUAUCUUAAAUAGCCACAUGCCCUGGAUAUGGGACAGGGUAAGCUUGAACCUGGCUAUUCCAUACAUGAAAAGACAAUCGCGCACUAGGAGUGGAGAGAUGGCAAAAGUGGCACGUACCCUCCUGGCAUAGGACCGCCUAAAAGGGGUGGUGUGCUCUCGGGUGGCGCGAACCUGUUCAUGCAGUGGAGGAUCUGUGGGAAUGGUAGACAUAUGCAAGGUUUACGAGAAACAUAUGUCGUGUGGUUAGAGAUCAUCAGCUGAGUAAAUCGAUUCGGAUCGCCGUUAUAUUCCCGGACAGUGGAGACUUGAUCUCUGACCUGCAACCUAAGUCAGGAUGUAAACAUUAUGAAUAAAAAUGAUGUUGUAUUGAUGAGAUGGUGAAAUUAGACUAGAUGCAACCAUAGUCUAUUAAUAUUUAAUCUGGCAUUAAAAUAUUGAAAGUAAGGACUCCCUUUAGUAUACUAUUUCUGCAAAAGUAUCUAAGUUGAUUCUUGCUAAAGCCUUUUCCUUAAUUCCUAUUUAACCAGCAUAUCCUUGAGAGUCAUUUUUCCUUAGUCGGGUAAGACUUGCGAAAGUACACUCCGUACUCAGGGUUUUCGAACCCAUGUUGUUGUAGGUGAUGAGGAGUACUCUAAGUGUUACUAAGGCUGGAGGGCAUUUCCAGUUCUAGAGGAG